GUAGGCGCAGCGAAAGCGAGUCUGAAUAGGGCGACUAAGUUUGAUGUAUUAGACCCGAAACCCGGCGAUCUAGGCAUGACCAGGAUGAAGGUGAGGUAACACUCACUGGAGGUCCGAACCGAUUAACGUUGAAAAGUUACCGGAUGAGUUGUGUUUAGGGGUGAAAGGCCAAUCAAGCCGGGAAAUAGCUGGUUCUCCGCGAAAACUAUUGAGGUAGUGCCUCGAGCGAAUACCGUAGGGGGUAGAGCACUGGAUGGGCUAGGGGGUCGCGAGAUCUACCAAACCUAACCAAACUCCGAAUACCAUAGAGACAAGUCCGGGAGACAGACGGCGGGUGCUAAGGUCCGUCGUCAAAAGGGAAACAGCCCUGACCUACAGCUAAGGUCCCCAAGUCGUGUCUAAGUGGGAAAGCAUGUGGAAUUUCCAAAACAACCAGGAGGUUGGCUUAGAAGCAGCCAUCCUUUAAA
rnacentral:rRNA from 1 species